ACAAGAUGUAUGGGGUGUCU
rnacentral:miRNA from 1 species